CAGAGGGAAGGCUUCUCCGGACGUGCCUGAAGAAAAGCUUGGGCCAGGAGAGCUCAGCCCUUGUAAAGCUGAAAGGCCACCUUACAACUUUCGGGUUGACAACACAGCAGAUAAUGUCUUCUCUUGUUUUGUUCUCUCGAUUGUACCUUGUCAUGUAUUUAUGUGUGAAAAAUGUAUUCAAAGGUGAAGACUGUAUGAACUGUAUAUAACUCAUCAAUGAAUUCCCCCGCAGAUUUGCUUCUUUUGAAAUAUGCCAAUGGAAAUGAAAGCUUGCCCUCCCUGAGUUACCUGGUUUGUUUUCAUCUCAUAUGACCUCAUUCACAGAGGAAAUGCAUUGCUGGCACAAGGGAAUUGUUUACUCUAAAACUGUUUUCUCAGUGACUGUGGAAUUGGAAAUUGAAUGCUACCAUAAAUGUUGCUCUCCAAACUGCAGUUGUACAUAAAGCAAUACUUAAUUAAUCUGACCUUAAUAAAUAACAUCACAAAGUGUAUAAUUGUAAAGAGCAAGCUGACCGACGUCUGUAUAUACCCUGAGGAUAGGGAGGGAAAAAGAAUGGAUAAAACAUGCUCAUUUCUUUGCUAAUUAAUCUUUAGAAGAAGCUUCAGUACAACAGUGAUGUGUUUAGAGAGGGAAUACAAGUAGAUGAAAGCAGCCAAACUGUAAGAGCUGUUGCAGCUGUGGUUUUCUUCUUUGGUUUUGUUAAUUUAAAUCUUUCAACAGACUUUUGCAAUAACAGUGUUGUGGGUUGAGAUAUUCAAUACUAACCAAAGUGUGGCAACUGAAGAAUCAAAGUUGUCAUGUAAACACAGAAACAAGUUUGUAAAUUGGUAACACUACAGCACAAAUGGCCCAUAUUAGAAGUGCCCUUUUGAUCUUCUUAAAGGGUAAAUGCUCCCAAAACAUACCAGGUACAUGUAAAAGAAACACGGCUUGUUUUAAGAUGCCUUCAAGAGAAGGGAUGAAGUUUUAGAAGAGCAGGUGGCAAGGCUGCAGCCUCUAGCCUCUGGAGUCACUUGUAUUGUGCCCAGCUAUUCAUCUGCUGAGUUUUCUGGUUGUGUUUUCUGCAUACUGGGAAGGGGAAAGGGAGACUGGGAUUGAUAGGCUACACAGUGGUAAAGCCAGAGCCUUCUUGGUGUGAUUUCCAUCUAGCCUGUCUCACUGCAUUUAGAAAAAGAAAUACCAGUGAAAGAGUAACUUCCAAGGCCAAGGAAAACAACUUUUUCCUUUUAUCCUUCUAAGGUAAGCUGUUUUUCUUUCUGUCCUUCCCCCUUUUUUUUGUAGCAAGCCUAGGUGGGACAUCCAGCAGCCCUCAAGAAAUGAACAUUAAUGGCUACGAGAGAUUAGAGCCAUGUUAGUAAUUCUGGGUUCCUGUGAAGCUCCAGGUUUUAGAAUAAUGGCAGCCUAGACAGGUGGUUCCUGUCAACCAACUUUCUUGAUUUCUUCUUGAGGAAGAAUAGCGCAUGGGAAAAUCAGAGCUGCUGUACUUGAUCAGAAAAGGAUCUGUCUUUACAUAUAUAUAAUGUACUGUCUGUCUCUGACAGCGGUCCAUAGAGGAUACUUGGGAAAGAGAGAGAUGAUGGCCUGUAUGUGGUGUUGACUAAUAUAGCUGGCUGAAGCAUGUAUCACACCUGGUUGUCUGCCUGGCUGCGCUUCCCCAAACCAAUCAACAGGCCCCCCAUAGCUGGACAGCAGCUCACGUACCAGUCAUCGUGCUGGGCAGAGAUCAUGGAAUUGUUCUUGUAUUGCAGGGCAAAAGGGCUCCCGGAGCACUACCCAGGCUAGAAUACCCUGGCUAGGUACCCUCUUUGCUGGAGAGCUGUUGGGCUGAUCUUGUGGGUCUUCCUAGACUUCCCGUACUGCCAUACUCAGCGUAUUAGCCAGGAGGUGCUUGCUUGCAGCCACCAGCUCCCCAGAUGUCCUUAUCUGGUGAACUCGGGCAGGGAGAGGCCCAGGGGCUUCUGCAGAGUAACUCCCCAAGGUUGCCAGCACACAGACAGGUGGUGGUUCUAGGUAGCCCAGGCUCAGGUCAAACCAAGGCAGGCUGCCUGCUGGGAGCAGAGGAGGUGUUGGGGGCUGAUUUUGUGGUACAGAAGCAAGCAACAUGCACAUAUAUAGGCCAGCCACCAGCCUAGUUUCUCGGGGCUUCUGCAACAGUGUUGGGAUGAACACACUGGAAACAAAUCCUGAAAGCAGUUUAAACCAGAAUUUUGUCUUCAUACUUUUCUUCAAGCUUAGUUAACUGUUUCAUGUGUUUGCCACAGUUGUUUUUUUUUUUAAAGUAAAACGAUAUCCAAAAUGAACAACUUGAAAUUGUGAAUCAUUAUCUGUUUUGUUUUCUAUGUAAUGCUGAAGAACUGACUGUACCAAUAUUUUGCAUAUUGUGCAAUAGAGCUAUUGAAAUAAAAUUAAUGACAACCCAUAGUAAAAGGAAGGUUUUAGUGUCUUGUGUCUUAAAAAGCCAUAAAUUAAACUUGGGUCCAAUUUCA